rnacentral:rRNA from 1 species
GAUGAACGCUGGCUACAGGCUUAACACAUGCAAGUCGAGGGGAAACGACGGGGAAGCUUGCUUCCCCGGGCGUCGACCGGCGCACGGGUGAGUAACGCGUAUCCAACCUGCCUCUGACUGAGGGAUAACCCGUCGAAAGUCGGCCUAAUACCUCAUGGUAUCGUCUGCGGGCAUCCAACGACGAUUAAAGAUUUCAUCGGUCAGGGAUGGGGAUGCGUCUGAUUAGCUUGUUGGCGGGGUAACGGCCCACCAAGGCUACGAUCAGUAGGGGUUCUGAGAGGAAGGUCCCCCACAUUGGAACUGAGACACGGUCCAAACUCCUACGGGAGGCAGCAGUGAGGAAUAUUGGUCAAUGGGCGAGAGCCUGAACCAGCCAAGUAGCGUGCAGGAAGACGGCCCUAUGGGUUGUAAACUGCUUUUAUGCGGGGAUAAAGUGAGGGACGUGUCCCUCAUUGCAGGUACCGCAUGAAUAAGACCG